UACGUAGGGUGCAAGCGUUGUCCGGAAUUAUUGGGCGUAAGGAGCUCGUAGGCGGUCUGUUGCGUCGGCUGUGAAAACCCGGGGCUCAACUCCGGGCCUGCAGCCGAUACGGGCAGACUAGAGUUCGGCAGGGGAGACUGGAAUUCCUGGUGUAGCGGUGAAAUGCGCAGAUAUCAGGAGGAACACCGGUGGCGAAGGCGGGUCUCUGGGCCGAUACUGACGCUGAGGAGCGAAAGCGUGGGGAGCGAACAGG
rnacentral:rRNA from 1 species